GACGAGUGGCGGACGGGUGAGUAACGCGUAGGAAUCUGCCUGUUAGUGGGGACAACGUGGGGAAACUCACGCUAAUACCGCAUACGCCCUACGGGGGAAAGGAGGGGAUCUUCGGACCUUUCGCUAACAGAUGAGCCUGCGUUAGAUUAGCUAGUUGGUAGGGUAAAGGCCUACCAAGGCGACGAUCUAUAGCUGGUCUGAGAGGACGAUCAGCCACACUGAGACUGAGACACGGCCCAGACUCCUACGGGAGGCAGCAGUGGGGAAUAUUGGACAAUGGGCGCAAGCCUGAUCCAGCAAUACCGCGUGUGUGAAGAAGGCCCUAGGGUUGUAAAGCACUUUCAAUGGGGAGGAAAACCUGCCGGUCAAUACCCGGUAGCUUGACAUUACCUAUAGAAGAAGCACCGGCUAACUCCGUGCCAGCAGCCGCGGUAAUACGGAGGGUGCAAGCGUUAAUCGGAAUUACUGGGCGUAAAGCGUGCGUAGGCGGCUCGUUAAGUCAGAUGUGAAAGCCCUGGGCUCAACCUGGGAACUGCAUUUGAAACUGGCGAGCUAGAGUUGAGUAGAGGGGAGUGGAAUUUCAGGUGUAGCGGUGAAAUGCGUA
rnacentral:rRNA from 1 species